AGAGUUUGAUCAUGGCUCAGAGCGAACGCUGGCGGCAGGCCUAACACAUGCAAGUCGAGCGCCGUAGCAAUACGGAGCGGCAGACGGGAGAGUAACACGUGGGAACGUGCCCUUCAGUUCGGAACAACCCAGGGAAACUUGGGCUAAUACCGGAUACGUCCGUAAGGAGAAAGAUUUAUCGCUGAAGGAUCGGCCCGCGUCUGAUUAGCUAGUUGGUGGGGUAAUGGCCCACCAAGGCGACGAUCAGUAGCUGGUCUGAGAGGAUGAUCAGCCUCACUGGGACUGAGACACGGCCCAGACUCCUACGGGAGGCAGCAGUGGGGAAUAUUGGACAAUGGGCGCAAGCCUGAUCCAGCCAUGCCGCGUGGGUGAUGAAGGCCCUAGGGUUGUAAAGCCCUUUCGGCGGGGAAGAUAAUGACGGUACCCGCAGAAGAAGCCCCGGCUAACUUCGUGCCAGCAGCCGCGGUAAUACGAAGGGGGCUAGCGUUGCUCGGAAUCACUGGGCGUAAAGCGCACGUAGGCGGCUUUUUAAGUCAGGGGUGAAAUCCUGGAGCUCAACUCCAGAACUGCCUUUGAUACUGAGAAGCUUGAGUCCGGGAGAGGUGAGUGGAACUGCGAGUGUAGAGGUGAAAUUCGUAGAUAUUCGCAAGAACACCAGUGGCGAAGGCGGCUCACUGGCCCGGUACUGACGCUGAGGUGCGAAA
rnacentral:rRNA from 1 species